rnacentral:rRNA from 1 species
GACGAACGCUGGCGGCGUGCUUAACACAUGCAAGUCGAACGGAAAGGCCCUGCUUUUGUGGGGUGCUCGAGUGGCGAACGGGUGAGUAACACGUGAGUAACCUGCCCUUGACUUUGGGAUAACUUCAGGAAACUGGGGCUAAUACCGGAUAGGAGCUCCUGCUGCAUGGUGGGGGUUGGAAAGUUUCGGCGGUUGGGGAUGGACUCGCGGCUUAUCAGCUUGUUGGUGGGGUAGUGGCUUACCAAGGCUUUGACGGGUAGCCGGCCUGAGAGGGUGACCGGCCACGUUGGGACUGAGAUACGGCCCAGACUCCUACGGGAGGCAGCAGUGGGGAAUAUUGCACAAUGGGCGGAAGCCUGAUGCAGCAACGCCGCGUGCGGGAUGACGGCCUUCGGGUUGUAAACCGCUUUCGCCUGUGACGAAGCGUGAGUGACGGUAAUGGGUAAAGAAGCACCGGCUAACUACGUGCCAGCAGCCGCGGUGAUACGUAGGGUGCGAGCGUUGUCCGGAUUUAUUGGGCGUAAAGGGCUCGUAGGUGGUUGAUCGCGUCGGAAGUGUAAUCUUGGGGCUUAACCCUGAGCGUGCUUUCGAUACGGGUUGACUUGAGGAAGGUAGGGGAGAAUGGAAUUCCUGGUGGAGCGGUGGAAUGCGCAGAUAUCAGGAGGAACACCAGUGGCGAAGGCGGUUCUCUGGGCCUUUCCUGACGCUGAGGAGCGAAAGCGUGGGGAGCGAACAGGCUUAGAUACCCUGGUAGUCCACGCUGUAAACGGUGGGUACUAGGUGUGGGGUCCAUUCCACGGGUUCCGUGCCGUAGCUAACGCUUUAAGUACCCCGCCUGGGGAGUACGGCCGCAAGGCUAAAACUCAAAGGAAUUGACGGGGCCCCGCACAAGCGGCGGAGCAUGCGGAUUAAUUCGAUGCAACGCGUAGAACCUUACCUGGGUUUGACAUGGAUCGGGAGUGCUCAGAGAUGGGUGUGCCUCUUUUGGGGUCGGUUCACAGGUGGUGCAUGGCUGUCGUCAGCUCGUGUCGUGAGAUGUUGGGUUAAGUCCCGCAACGAGCGCAACCCUUGUUCACUGUUGCCAGCACGUUAUGGUGGGGACUCAGUGGAGACCGCCGGGGUCAACUCGGAGGAAGGUGGGGAUGACGUCAAGUCAUCAUGCCCCUUAUGUCCAGGGCUUCACGCAUGCUACAAUGGCUGGUACAGAGAGUGGCGAGCCUGUGAGGGUGAGCGAAUCUCGGAAAGCCGGUCUCAGUUCGGAUUGGGGUCUGCAACUCGACCUCAUGAAGUCGGAGUCGCUAGUAAUCGCAGAUCAGCAACGCUGCGGUGAAUACGUUCCCGGG